rnacentral:rRNA from 1 species
CUACGGGAGGCAGCAGUCGGGGAAUCUUGCGCAAUGGGGGAAACCCUGACGCAGCAACGCCGCGUGGGUGAUGAAGGCCUUCGGGUCGUAAAGCCCUGUCAGGUGGGAAGAAACCCGUCGAUGUCAACAACGUCGACGAUUGACGGUACCACCGGAGGAAGCACCGGCUAACUCCGUGCCAGCAGCCGCGGUAAUACGGAGGGUGCAAGCGUUGUUCGGAAUUAUUGGGCGUAAAGCGCGUGCAGGCGGCUGGGUAAGUCAGAUGUGAAAGCCUUCCGCUUAACGGAAGAAGUGCAUUUGAAACUACCCGGCUUGAGUUCGGGAGAGGAGAGUGGAAUUCCCGGUGUAGAGGUGAAAUUCGUAGAUAUCGGGAGGAACACCGGUGGCGAAGGCGGCUCUCUGGCCCGAUACUGACGCUGAGACGCGAAAGCGUGGGGAGCAAACAGGAUUAGAUACCCGUGUAGUCCC